rnacentral:rRNA from 1 species
CCUACGGGCGGCUGCAGUGGGGAAUAUUGGACAAUGGGCGCAAGCCUGAUCCAGCAAUACCGCGUGUGUGAAGAAGGCCUUAGGGUUGUAAAGCACUUUCAAUGGGGAGGAAAACCUACCGGUCAAUACCCGGUAGCUUGACAUUACCUGUAGAAGAAGCACCGGCUAACUCCGUGCCAGCAGCCGCGGUAAUACGGAGGGUGCAAGCGUUAAUCGGAAUUACGCGGCGUCGGUUGUGCAUGGCAGGUGCGAAAGCCCCGGGCUUAACCUGGGAACUGCAUUUGAAACUGGCGGACUAGAGUUGAGUAGAGGGGAGUGGAAUUUCAGGUGUAGCGGUGAAAUGCGUAGAUAUCUGAAGGAACACCAGUGGCGAAGGCGACUCCCUGGACUCAAACUGACGCUGAGGUACGAAAGCGUGGGUAGCAAACAGGAUUAGAUACCCGUGUAGUC